UCUAAUUAAUUUUAUUUAUAUCUCAGUCAUAUAUAAAACUUUAUUAUUAUUUUGUAAGGGAUUAUAAUUAUUUGUUCUGUUGUAUACAUUUAUCUUAUAUACACUCGUAAUCUAUUUCUGUAUCUGACACCCUUAUGCUUCAAUUUACAUUUGGGAUGUCACGGGAAGAAAGAAGAUAGGAAAAGAGUUCACGUCACCAAUUACAUGCAAGGGAAAAAGAAUGCUCAUGACAGUGACCAUGAGUGAGGGAAAGAAAAGAGAAGAAAGGAAGGUGCUAGCAGCGGUGACUCAAGCGAGAGAAAAGAAAAGAAAGUGUUUUUGGCAGUAAUCACGAGUGAGAGUGAGCCGAGAAAAAAGAAAGCAAGUAGUUGUGGCCCCGAGCGAGUGAGGGAAAGAAAGAGGGGUUAACAGUUAAGGCCACGAGCAGGAGAGGAAGAAUGGGCAUGCAUAAUUGUGCCCCAAGCAAAGAGAAAGAGAGAGAGAGAGAGAGAUAACGAGAGGUCAAUAGCUUCUAGUGCACAGCUUUGAUGCUACUAUGAGAACGAUCAAGGGAAAGAGAAAAAGAGAAGGCUAUGUACGGUGGUGCCCGCGAGCACCAAAGGGUGAGAUCAUAGGGAUUUAACGUGUGUGGUGUUAGUGCUACCACGUAGAUGCAUCUGUGAAGGGGAAAUAAAGGCUAGUCACAUUGGAAUGUGCAACACAGGUAUGGAUUUUGUGUGAGGAAAAGGGAAAAU
rnacentral:lncRNA from 1 species